rnacentral:rRNA from 1 species
AACGAGAAUUUGUUCUUCGGAACGAAUGAUUCCAGUGACCCAAGCUGACCAGAAAAGUCUGCUGACUUAUAAACAUAUCCGCCCGUACCGCAAACCGACACAGGUGCUCAGGUCGAGUAGACCAAGGUGUACGAGAGAACCCUUCUUAAGGAACUCGGCAAUAUAGCGACCGUAACUUCGGGAUAAGGUCUGCCCUCAGCAAUGAGGGCCGCAGCUAAAGAAUUCAAGCAACUGUUUACCAAAAACACAGGUCUCUGCUAACACGAAAGUGGAUGUAUAGGGGCUGACUCCUGCCCGGUGCUGGAAGGUUAAGGGGAGCGCUUCACGGUGCGAACUGAAGCCCCAGUGAACGGCGGCGGUAACAAUAACCGUCCUAAGGUAGCGAAAUUCCUUGUCAGGUAAGUUCUGACCCGCACGAAUGGAGUAAUGAUUUGAAUACUGUCUCAAGAAGGGACUCGGUGAAAGUGCAUUGGCGGUAAAGAUGCCGUCUGUCCGCAUCAGGACGAAAAGACCCCGUGGAGCUUUACUACAGCUUGACAUUGAAUCGAGCGUCAACAUGUGUAGCAUAGGUGGGAGACUGUGAAGCCGUCGCGCUAGCGAUGGUGGAGUCGAAAUGUGAAAUACCACCCUUGUUGUCGUUUUAUUCUUACCCAAACCGUUAUCCGGUUUGGGGACCGUGUCUGGUGGGUAGUUUAACUGGGGCGGCUGCCUCCUAAAGAGUAGCGGAGGCGUUCAAAGGUUGGCUAGCUACGGAUGGAAAUCGUAGUGAUAGUGCAUACGCAUAAGCCAGCUUGACUGUGAGGACUACAAUCCAAUCAGGGACGAAAGUCGGAGUAAGUGAUCCGUUGUCCAUGUAUUUAUACAUAUGAACGUGGGAUCGACAACGCAAACGGAUAAAAGUUACCCCGGGGAUAACAGGCUUAUAGCGCCCAAUAGUUCACAUAGACGGCGCUGUUUGGCACCUCGAUGUCGGCUCAUCUCAUCCUGGGGCUGGAGCAGGUCCCAAGGGUCCGGCUGUUCGCCGGUUAAAGAGGUACGCGAGCUGGGUUCAGAACGUCGUGAGACAGUUCGGUUUAUAUCCGAUGUGGACGAUAGGAAAUUUGAGAGAAUUUGCCCCUAGUACGAGAGGACCGGGGUGAACGCACCGCUGGUGUACCAAUUGUCAGGCCUACUGGCAUUGUUGGGUAGCUACGUGCGGUCUAGAUAAGCGCUGAAAGCAUAUUAAGCGCGAAACUAAUCUCAAGAUUAGAUUUCCCUAUGAGACCCCAGAGAGACGAUCUGGUUGAUAGGCGCAAGGUGUACGCACAGUAAUGUGUUCAGCCAAAGCGUACUAAUAGGUCCAUCGACUCAAAA